rnacentral:tRNA from 1 species
GCGCUCGUAGCUCAGAGGAUAGAGUAUUGGCCUCCGAAGCCAAGGGUCGUGGGUUCGAAUCCCGCCGAGCGCG